GACGAACGCUGGCGGCGUGCUUAACACAUGCAAGUCGAACGGAAAGGCCCUGCUUUUGUGGGGUGCUCGAGUGGCGAACGGGUGAGUAACACGUGAGUAACCUGCCCUUGACUUUGGGAUAACUUCAGGAAACUGGGGCUAAUAUCGGAUAGGAGCUCCUGCUGCAUGGUGGGGGUUGGAAAGUUUCGGCGGUUGGGGAUGGACUCGCGGCUUAUCAGCUUGUUGGUGGGGUAGUGGCUUACCAAGGCUUUGACGGGUAGCCGGCCUGGGAGGGUGACCGGCCACAUUGGGACUGAGAUACGGCGCAGACUCCUACGGGAGGCAGCAGUGGGGAAUAUUGCACAAUGGGCGGAAGCCUGAUGCAGCAACGCCGCGUGCGGGAUGACGGCCUUCGGGUUGUAAACCGCUUUCGCCUGUGACGAAGCGUGAGUGACGGUAAUGGGUAAAGAAGCACCGGCUAACUACGUG
rnacentral:rRNA from 1 species